rnacentral:rRNA from 1 species
UCUUCUCCGCCGGCGACCGGCGCACGGGUGAGUAACACGUAUGCAACCUCGCCCCUGUCGAGGGGGACAACCCGCCGAAAGGCGGGCUAAACCCGCGUACAUGCCACCGGGGCAUCCCGGAGGCAGGAAAGGCUUCGGCCGGACAGGGAUGGGCAUGCGGCGCAUUAGGCAGUAGGCGGGGUAACGGCCCACCUAACCGACGAUGCGUAGGGGUUCUGAGAGGAAGGUCCCCCACACUGGUACUGAGACACGGACCAGACUCCUACGGAAGGCAGCAG